UUUUUUUAGGAUUUGGAGGUUGGAGCUGUGAUUGAGAGAAUCAGCACUCUAGACCGUGCUUCUAGAGCUUCUUCAGUGACUUCAGACCUUCCUACUCUUACCAAACAGAAAUUGCCCUUGCUCUCCACAGGGACUCUGAGCUCCUGAAUUGCCAGCCUGGUCUUCUUUGGAAGGUGAGCCUCUUAUCUCUAACUGUGAAGUCUCCUUCAGGGAAGAGGUGAGUGAAAGGAGGCUUAUUCCCCUUCCCCACUUACAUCCCCAUUUUCCAGUUCACAACUGCCUGUGCAAAGACAUAGGAUAAGAAUACCUUGCAAAGUCUGAUUCAGACAAUCAG
rnacentral:lncRNA from 1 species